rnacentral:rRNA from 1 species
AGCUCAAAUUGAAAUCUGGCUGGUUUACUAGUCCGAGUGUAAUUAAAGAAGCGUUUCGGUGGCAGCUGGGUAUAAUCCUUUGGAAUAGGGUAUCAUAGAGGGUGAGAAUCCGUCUUUGACCUAGUGCAUGCUACUAUGUGAUACGUUUUCAAAGAGUCGAGUUGUUUGGGAAUGCAGCUCAAAAUGGGUGGUAAAUUUCAUCUAAAGCUAAAUAUUGGCGAGAGACCGAUAGCGAACAAGUACCGUGAGGGAAAGAUGAAAAGAACUUUGAAAAGAGAGUUAAACAGUGCGUGAAAUUGUUGAAAGGGAAACGUUUGACACCAGUCAUGUGGGUGGAAAAUCAGUCUUUUGCAUUGGGGAGUUGUAAAGGUUCGGACCGCAAGGCCGGCUUUUGCUUCAUCUUUGGUGUAAGGGAUGCACUUUUUCAUCUACAGGUCAACAUCAGUUUCUUUUGCUGGACAAAACUCCGAGAGAAGGUAGCAGCUUAGGCUGUGUUAUAGCUCUGGAGCGAUACAGUGAAGGGGACUGAGGUUUUCGCAGCGUGUGCUCUCGGGCAAGGCUGGAUGGGUGCUAUGGGAUCGUUCGGGGUACAAUGCCUGGCAUUUUGCUUCGUGUCUUUUCUAUACUCGCUCAACUCAGCUCUUCCACGCUUAGGAUGUUGACUUAAUGGUUUUAAACGACCCGUCUUGAAACACGGACCAGGGAGUCUAACAUAUAUGCAAGUGUUUGGGUGGCAAACCCAUGCGCGUAAUGAAAGUGAACGUAGGUGCCAUCCGCAAGGUGCAGCAUCGACCGAUCUUGAUAUUUUUGGAUAGAUUUGAGUAAGAGCAUAUAUGCUGGGACCCGAAA